rnacentral:rRNA from 1 species
UAAGGAAUAUUGGUCAAUGGGCGCAAGCCUGAACCAGCCAUGCCGCGUGCAGGAUGACGGCUCUAUGGGUUGUAAACUGCUUUUGUACGGGAAUAAACCCUCCGACGUGUCGGAGGCUGAAGGUACCGUAAGAAUAAGGAUCGGCUAACUCCGUGCCAGCAGCCGCGGUAAUACGGAGGAUCCAAGCGUUAUCCGGAUUCAUUGGGUUUAAAGGGUGCGGAGGCGGACAUGUAAGUCAGUGGUGAAAUCCUACAGCUUAACUGUAGAACUGCCAUUGAUACUGUUUGUCUUGAGUAUAGUUGAAGUAGCUGGAAUGUAUCAUGUAGCGGUGAAAUGCUUAGAUAUGAUACAGAACACCGAUUGCGAAGGCAGGUUACUAAGCUAUAACUGACGCUCAUGCACGAAAGCGUGGGGAUCAAACAGG